rnacentral:rRNA from 1 species
CCUUAACUGACGCUAAAGCUCGAAAGUGCGGGUAUCGAACAGGAUUAGAUACCCUGGUAGUCCGCACGGUAAACGAUGGAUGCCCGCUGUUGGCGAUAUACUGUCAGCGGCCAAGCGAAAGCGUUAAGCAUCCCACCUGGGGAGUACGCCGGCAACGGUGAAACUCAAAGGAAUUGACGGGGGCCCGCACAAGCGGAGGAACAUGUGGUUUAAUUCGAUGAUACGCGAGGAACCUUACCCGGGCUUGAACUGCAGCGGAAGGAUACAGAGAUGUUGACGUCCUUCGGGACCGCUGUGGAGGUGCUGCAUGGUUGUCGUCAGCUCGUGCCGUGAGGUGUCGGCUUAAGUGCCAUAACGAGCGCAACCCCUUUCUUCAGUUGCCAUCAGGUUUUGCUGGGCGCUCUGGAGACACUGCCACCGUAAGGUGUGAGGAAGGUGGGGAUGACGUCAAAUCAGCACGGCCCUUACGUCCGGGGCUACACACGUGUUACAAUGGGUGGUACAGAGAGUCGGUCGUUUGCAAAUGCGAUCUAAUCCUUGAAGCCAUCCUCAGUUCGGAUUGGGGUCUGCAACCCGACCCCAUGAAGCUGGAUUCGCUAG